UCUGUAUUUUCUAGGCAUUUCUAAAGCUACCAGUGCCAUCUGUACCUUUCAAGGCAGAUAGUACUAAGCAAGCUGAAUGGACAUCACAGACCUGUUCAUGAGUGAUAUCUGUCCACCAAUAUGGGAAGUACCAGCAAAGUGGCUCAGCUGCAUCAUGGGAAGACUGAGAGGAGCAAGGUGCAGUAAAAGAGACAACAGGAAAAUGGUCUCUGUGGUCAUGGAUUUCUCUGCUCCAGUGUGGAAACAAUGAAGAGAUGGGACAGAGGGGUGUGAGAAGAGUUGAACAAAAGUGGGGUGUGGGAGAGAAAAGGUGAGAUGAACUAAGAUAGCAAAUUAAAGGAAAAACUGAGUCAGGGAGAAAUGAAAAAUGUUGGGUAAGGAGGUAUGGAGACAAGAGAAGAAGUAACAUGUAAGAUUGAAACAAAAGAAAAAUGCAAAACACAGAUAAGGAAAUAAGGCUUAAACUGGAGCCUUUCGUAAUUUUAUGUUAGAUUAGCACAACAAACCAUGUAGCUCAGCACAUGACAUCAUGUGGCCACAUGCCAUGCAAAGAUGACUGACAGGUUAAUCAACUGACAUCACGAGAAACACACAUGUAAAAAAAAAUCAUAUUUAAACUGACAGGAUAAUUACUUUCACCGUCCCUCAUGCAGGCCCCUUCAGGCAGGA
rnacentral:lncRNA from 1 species